UACAAACAUGAGGUAAACAGAGAAACAGGUGCUUUGCGUCAAAUAAAGGCAGAGUCAGAAAGACGGACUGCAUGAAGAAGAAGAUGAGUUGCCUGACUCUGUAUUCACAUAUGCUGAAGCUUCAAGAAAGCAAGAGAAUGCCUUUGAACAUUUAAUCUUUGAACAUGUUGAAGAGAAGGACUUCUCAAGCCAGAACCUGUCUCACCUUCAUCACAAAUGAUAAUCCUACAAAUGAGCCAGCUUCAAAUUUCAUAGACGACCCCAUAAAGUGGAAAGAGCAAGAAAAACAGGCUUUUGAGAAGGUUCAGGAGGAGGAGAGAAUGAGAAUCCAGAAACUUCAUUGCAUAGCAGCAACAAAGAUUCAAGCUGCUCUCAGAGGAACAUUAGGAGCAAAGCAGAGCGUAGGAAAAAGAAAGAGGAAGAGAAGAAGGAAUGGGAGAAGUUGAAGAAGGAGAGAGAACAGAAGAGAAACAGGACUGAGGAAGAAGAGGGCGCUCAGAGGGAGAAGAUGGAGAGAUGCAGCACCAGAGAUGGACACAAGGUGGCUUCAUAAUACUACAGCUGUUGAGCUUGAGGACCAUAAACCACAAAGCCAAAAAUCAUCCAGUUCAAAAAA